UUGCUGUGAUGAAAGUGAUAGCAAAACCAUUCGUAGUUUCCACUAGAAGUUUAAAAACUAAUGUUGGUCCAAGUUCCUUCCUUGGCUGUCUGAGCGA
ensembl:snoRNA SNORD14 Small nucleolar RNA SNORD14